rnacentral:rRNA from 1 species
AUGUGGGAUAUCCGGUUCUGCCGCACCUUCGAACAAGAAGAGAGUGAAGAGUGCAAUAGACUACGGGCAGCCCUAUCAACGGAGCUUCCAGACUAUCCGGACUCCGUGGCCUGGAAGUUGUCCCCGACGGUAGAAUUUUUGGUGCACUCGGCAUAUCAUGCCCUCUGCAUGUCCCCGCCCACCCCGUGGCUUUCUCCCCUGUGGAAAGCCCCCUUGCCACUGAAGAUUAAGAUCUUUGUGUGGCAGCUACUUCGAGAUCGCAUCCCUUCAGGGACUGAGUUCCUGAAGCGGCAUGGCCCGGGUGAUGGCAUGUGCACCCUAUGUGUGGUUCCGGAGACGGUGGCACAUAUCCUCUUCUCCUGCACGGCGGCACGGGAUCUUUGGACGUUCGUCCGUGAGGCCCUUGAGCCCGAAUGGGAGGCCCUCAAGCUCGCGGAGUUCCUCCAAUACAGGGCUACGCAACGUACCCGUCACCGACUGCUUAUUUUGGCUUAUUUUUGA